UACAGAGGUCUCAAGCGUUGUUCGGAUUCAUUGGGCGUAAAGGGUGCGUAGGUGGCGCCGUAAGUCGGGUGUGAAAUUUCGGAGCUUAACUCCGAAACUGCAUUCGAUACUGCGGUGCUUGAGGACUGGAGAGGAGACUGGAAUUCAUGGUGUAGCAGUGAAAUGCGUAGAGAUCAUGAGGAAGACCAGUGGCGAAGGCGACGUCCUGGACCGGCAUUGACGCUGAGGCGCGAAAGCCAGGGGAGCAAACGGG
rnacentral:rRNA from 1 species